CUUGGUUCGAGAGAGAUUCCUGCACCAUGAUUAACAGAUCCAACCAGCCUCGUAGUUCACCUCAGCAAACUGGGGGAGUGAGGAUUUUUGUCUUUUUUUCUGUCCAAAUGGUGGCACAAGAAUGUUCCUCAGGAAUCUCUGUCUUGAGUAAUAAACUCCCUUCUUUUGAAAUCCCAGGCCUUGUGCCCAGAGUAGACAGAUUCCCUUAAUAAAGAUGGAAGCGUCAACUCUGAAGCAAGGAUACUUGGUAAAAUGCUUUUAAAACUGACAAGAAAAAGCAGCUCGAAGUGGCCCAGCAAGUUCAGAGAAAGUCCGCGCUGGAGGGACACACGGAGGAGGCGUGAUGAACUCAGCGCUGCUGACACCACGCUGCAGUGAACAGAGGAAGGCUCUUGCUGUGGGUCAAGACAGGCUGGAGCAGAAGCCUUGAAAGCAGAUAGGAAACCAACGCAGUGGUCUUUCGUGAUUGCUGUGGUCGAUCUUCAGCUCAACGGUCGAUCUUCACUGUUCAUCUUGUUCGACUUCCCAGAAACCUUAAACACAAUGGAAUUUUCUUUCCUAAUUAAUACCCUCCUUUUCCCUGAUGCCAUGGCACAGCUGUUGCCUUUGGCUCUCCACUCUGGGUUUCUCCCCUCUGACCAUCUCGGGUCCUUGUGUCUUUCCUGUUUACACCUGUUGGCUGGGUGACCCCAUCAGCUUUUAUGGUUUCAGUCACCACCAGAGCCCAGUAAUCAGGAGCCCACACACCUAACCUGCACUGCUUUUCUGAGCUUCCAGAAAAGAAGAGACCAACAGACUGCAAGCUGCCAAUGUCUUCUUGAAUGCCUCUCCCAGACAAAGUAGAAUCCAUCACUUCUCCCUAAGCUCAUUUCUCCCCUGAUGUCUUUUGUAUACAUUUAUAGUGAGCAUGAGAGAGAGUGACUUACAUCUCUAUUUUUUUUUCUAAAGUAAAAUAUCAACUUUUAAGAUUUUAAUCUGACAAUCAUAAUUUAUUAAUCAGCAAGUUGAUGAAGUAGCAAAAACAUUUAUUGAGCUGGAACCUCAUUCUUCUGGUGAUUAUUUCAUGGUUAAUAAUAAUAAUAAUUAACAUGCUACUUGACAUUCUAAAAUUUUUCUUUCUAGAAUCUGAACUUUCAUUAUAAUCACACCUGAUCAGAAAACUCAGGGCAAAUUUGUCCUGAAAACAUCUCAGGAUUACCUUAGAUUGGGAAAACACAAGCCGACUAGAGCUUUUGGCAAUGGCUUUCUAGCAUAUUCAUAAAGGGAUUUCUACUUGAUGGUGUGUGUGUGUGUGCUAAGUCGCUUCAGUCAUGUCCAGGUCUAUGCAACCCUAUGGACAUAGUCUGCCAGGUUUCUCUGUCCACGGGAUUCUCCAAGCAAGAGUAUGGAGUGGAUUGCCAUGCCUUCCUCCAGGGGAUCUUCCUGACCCAGGGAACAAAAGUGUCUCUUACGUAUACCUGCACUGACAUACGUAUACUUGAGGGCAACACCCUUAAAAUGCAUUCUUUAGUUUAGAGCGUUGAGUGUGAGAAGGGAUAAAUGUGGAAAUAAAUCUCCCAGAAUUUCAUCUUUCUGUUUUACAUGAGUAGAUUUUUAAUAUAAUUGUUGUUUUUUGUAGAGAGAUUGAUCAUUUCCAAAUUUUUAUGUAUUCAAACUUCUUAGGCUCUGAUAUCUGAUAACUGCAUUGGUAAGUGGGCAUAACUUGUCAACUUUCAUUUAAAGUUAAUAAGAUGGUUUGCAUGACAAUGGCUCCAGAUAAAAUUGGAGAGCGCAGAUUCUCUAGGCUGAGUACACUUAGAAAUAUCCCUUGUUAGAAACUACGUCCAAAAUACUUUCGGUGAAAGCUUGUUUUCUUUUCCCAUUUAAAAAAUGAACACUGUAGGACCAUGUACAUUUUCUCAGUGCAUCUACUUACUAGAGUGGUUGAUUAUAUUGAUUUUUUUCCCCUACAAAUUUCAAUCAAAAUCAUAUGUAUUUUAAAAGUCGGGCUUCAUAGUUCUGGCACUGUUCUUAGAAUCCAAAAUCUUCCUUUUAUCUCCUUGACAUGUGUCAGCUACAGCUAUAUUAAAGCUCUACAUUUUAAUCUUUCCAAAUUCAGUUCUCUUGACGAAUUCCUUCUUCCUUCAUGCCUGGAGUUCUGACUUCAAAAGAAGCUUUUCAUACACAAGAGAGAUAAAUACCAGGAGAAUUGGAGUGAGGACUGGGUCAAAUAACAUUGGAACCCCUUUCUUCCUGUGUUUUGAGAUGUGAAAUGUGAACCCAAACUAAAUGGUAAAGGAAAACUGCCUCUUACUCUGUGCUCUGUAUGUUCCCUGGGAAGAAAUUGUGUCUCUCAAAAAGAAGAGUUCAUAAACUGUCUGACUUUGCUGUGAUAUCUAGUUCCUUCCAAUAUCUAUCCUGUAGAUGGAAAACUCUGUAGAUUAAAUACUGUCAUCUAUAACAGACUGCUGGUUAUGUGCCAGGAUGCUGCGAGAUGAAUAAAAUAUGGAACUCUCAGUGUUCAGGUGGGUAUAUGCCUUUUGUGUCUGGACUCCUGGCUGUUAGAAGGACAUGACAAGGAAACCUGUUGGUGCAAACAAAUGAGAACAUCUUGGGGUCAGUCUGUGUGCUCUGAAAGUGUGCGGUUUCUACUGGUUAAAACUUCCCUUUUAGAUGUGGGACAUGGACAGUGCACACACGUGUGCCUAGAAAAAAAUGGGCAUAUACACAUGGGAAAAACCCAAAUUAAGAAAAAAAAAAAAAAGCCUGGUGAUUUUUUUUUGCUAACAUCAUAUAGUGCUUGAAACCUCAGGUUGCAUCUUCACAUGGAGACUUCAGGCAUCUCUGCAGUGGAGAUGAUCAGCUUUAAGGAAAAGGAAUGUCACCCUCCUUAAGGGUGUAGACAGUAACCAAUAUUUCUUCAGAUUCUUGUAAUUAUAGAAGACUGCUGCGCAGCUGUUACCUAACCACAAGAAGGGCAAAAUCCAACAGGGUGAAGUGCAGUUGAAGUCGGCAAGAAGGAAGGACUCCAAGGAGAAUUUGCAGAUGGAAUAUUCUCUGAUGUCUUGGAUAGUCAUGGAAAUUUAAGUCUUUCUUCCUUGAUCCUACCACUGAGGAUGUCUAGGGCAAUAAUACAGCGCAACUGUCCUGAAGUAUGUAGCAAGGGGAUUUUACCUAGUUAGCCAGGUGGGAGUACCAAACCCUUCCUGACCACCCGCUGCCCCCUCCAUGUACUGGAGCUUUGAGGGCUCGUACCAGCAGCCCGGGUUUAAGGGGCAACUGUCUUUGCAAUAGAAUGAGAUACAACACAUGAAAUAGUACUUUCUAAGUUUAAUUCCACUAAAAUUACAGUAAAAUAUUGAAUCAUAUACUUAUUGACACAAAUGAAGUAUCAGUAAAGCUUCCAUGCACAAUUGAAUUGCCUUUUUUUGUGAGGGGAGUCAAGAACAAAAUUCAUGUAAAGCAGGCAUCAUAAUUAACCUCUAUUAUCCAUAAGAUAAAAUUAAAUGUAUUCAACUUGCCCAGCCCCUGCCUGUAGGUGGACAGGGUAGGUAAGGCAGGCCCUGAAGUCAGAGAGGCCUCAACUCAAAUUCUGCUCUUGAAAUUAAGAAGCAUUUGUAACCUUGAGUUUAUUCACUAAUAAAGAGGAUAAACUACCAAUCUCACCUUUUUUUUUUUUACCCUUUGGCCCCUCUAAGGAUUUCAAGUGCUGAACACAUAACCACGACAAUAUUAAACACUCAAAUAAAUAAGAGCUAGUAUUGGUGGUAUUUUUAUUAUCAUUGGGAUAACGUGGUCAGCUGUGAAGGGGAGUCUCACUGAAGCUGGGGGAGGCACCCACCCAUGUUCUGCAGGUUGAGGCUGCUCUGCAGGGUGAAGGUCAGGUUUCAGAGUGAGUCCUUGAGAGAGGAGAUGAGAGGUUGAUUGAUCAUUCCCCAACCUUGGCAGGCAUUUCUUUGUCUGCUUUCAUUUGUUUACUUGUUUCAGAAUUCUUCUUCUGACCUUGAAUGAUUCCUAACAAGCUGGUGCUUCUCCAUCAUCAUGCUGGCUCUUGUUUAUAACUUCCUUGGCAGCCUUGGGAUAGAGGUGAUGGAGGUGAUUAUCGGGAGAACUUGAGAAUUCCUUGGUUCUCGAACGCUGGCUAGGUUCACUAACACUGCACUCUAACCCUUAUUAGCAACUAUGGCUUCAUGGAGAAAUUACAUUGAAAAAGAAUCAACCCCUUCUGUGUGGUGUGUAUUUUAGAGUUUGCAAAGCACUUCCAGAGGCAGAUGAGUAUGAGGAAAUUUAUGAGUGUUUGCUAUAGAGAGGACUGUUUUUCAAAUGUUAGAAACGUGAUGAUUGUUUAUACCGUAUCAUCAGUUUAGGGGCAUUUGCUGCAACUAUUAAAAAAAAAGUUAGAAAACAGCUAACAGUUUUGAAAGUGUUUGCAGUUGGACCCCAGAUGAUUUUUUUUUUUUUUAAAUAACAGACUUGGACAUUUUCUUACAAGUAAAGCACUGGAUUGUUUUUAUCCAAAUUUGUGUGCUUCGAGCAUGCCAGUGCCUCUGACGAUUAAACGUGACAGUGUGGGUCGCAGUGAAGGGUCUGGACCGUUUUCCCCUUUGUUUAUUCCCAACGUAGGUGGUUCGUAAGCUUGCCUAUCGUGUCAGUUUAGGGACGAAGAGCAGCAGAAGCGUCAUCUUCCCUGUGACAUGAGCUGCCCGGCCCUGGGGAGGGAGCUCCGGUUAACGAAUGAAGAUGUCAAGCUGUGUUCCACGACUGUCAACAGCUGCAUAUUUAUCACUGCGCCAUAGGCCCUCUCAGACUGAAAGAUUUCACUGUUUAUUCACAGCAAAGACACUUAAUUAAUGACUGGGCCUAAUCGGGCUGUCUUAUUAUUUACAGGGAUACCAGUGUGGCUUAGCUCAAGCGAUGUGCAAACAAACCAGCCUUGAGGAAGCUUUAAUUAAUAAUUCUGAGCCAGGCCUUCCGAGAGGCCCCGUCAUGGGCUCCUGGGUGAUUUACAACAUCUCCUUUGCCAUGUUCUCGUGUCCCCUGCAUGCAGAUGAGUGGCCACCCGGCAGAUCUUCCUGUUUCCACUGCACUGGGCCUUGUUUAUUACAGAAGCGCUCUUAUCUUUGCAGAGGACCUAAUGGAGAUGGAUGCCUCCAUGGGAAGACGAUUCCUGUGUCUCUCUUGACCGUGUUGCCAUUCAGAAGCAUUUCCGUGAGGUUAUUGUCACUGGCUCUGCUAAGAGACUCAUAUGGUAGAUCAAAAAAAUUAGGUUUAAUUUUGUUCAUUUGGGAAAUCAGAGCAAAACCAGAUAUGACAAGACAAGGUCACCUGUGUUCAGCAUUGACCAGGUGAGGCUGGAUGCAAGAAAAUCAGUUAGAGGCCUUCACAACCCAUCAGUCAGAGGAUUCCUUACCUCGGUAUAAAAUAGGGUCUAGGCACUGGAAAUAGAACUGGGGGAUUACAUUUGAGGUAUUUCGGGAGGUAGAAUCAAGAGAUUCAACAUGGGAUUGGAUGUGGGGGUGAAGGAGAGAGUAAGACCUAGACAGAGAGGACGUGUUCUCAUGGUUGCGUGUACAUACUAAGUUGAUUCAGUCAUGUCCGACCCUUUGUGACCCCAUGAACUGUGGCCUGCCAGGCUCCUGUGUCCAUGGGAUUCUCCAGGCAAGAACAUUGGAGUGGGUUGCCAUGCCCUCCUCCAGGGGAUCUUCCCAACCCCCAGGGACUGAACCCAUUUACAUGGUUACUUAAAAAUAAUUUCAAACUUUUUUUUCCUGUAAUUUUAAAAAAUACUGCUUGAUUGUCUUUUUGUAUCUGGUGUGGCCAAUGGCAGUUUGGUAUCAAGCAGGCUUCUGUUCUUUUGUAAGUAUGUGCAUGUAUAAAUAUACGUAUAUAUGAAUCUGUCUGAAUGUGCCCAUCUAUAUGUAUCUCAGCUCAGUUCAGUUCAGUCGCUCAGCUGCGUCUGACUCUCUGCAGUCCCAUGGACUGCAGCACGUCAGGUUUUCCUGUCCAUCACCAACUCCCGGAGCUUGCUCAAACUCCUGUGCAUCAAUAUCUAUCAUCUAUUUAUCACUUUUCCUCUGGAUAGACUUAGAUUUUUAAAAUCAUUGGUGCUUUCAAGUUUUACUGCGAUAUACAAAUGUGAGCUUUCCUUAUUUAUCCUGUUUGGAACUUGAGAAGUCUUGAAAUCUGAAAUUUUCAUUUUGAUUCUUGAUCUGCCUCCUUCCUCCAUUGCCUCUCCUUCUCAAACCCCUCUUAUCUUGAUUCAGCAAGUCUAUUUCAUCCCCCGUGUGGCUUUGCUUCCCCUGUGCUGUCUGUUCUGUGCUGUCCCACUGCUCGGGGGGCAGUUUUCCUGAAUUUCCAGCCCUCUGUCUCGUUCCUGGUUCUGUCCAUCUACUAUUUCCCCCAUCCAUGUGUUCUCUAUCUAAAUUAUUAUACUUUCUCAUGCCAAGUACUUUCCCAUGCAGUCCCUUAUUUCUGCUUUUAGUACACUCGUCUGCCCUAAUGCCUUUCGGUAUAUUAAUAACCUUAUUUUAAAUUCUCGGUGUGAUGCUUCGUGUCCUCUCUGCUGUCUUUCCUUUACAGUGGUUGCAAGAACUCAAGUUUUGUCUUCAAAUUCCACUCUUCUGGAUGGAAUUCCAUCCAAGGAAUUCCAAAUUCACCUGUGCAAGGAGACUCUACUUCAGAACUGGAGAAUUAAUUUGCCUCAAAUUCUGCUUUUAUUUCUCCAAGCCUCAGAGACACACCCUCCCCACGACAGAGAUGAUGCUGGCUACUGAACAAGUGAAUAUGUGCUAAAAAAAAAAGUAUGAAAAAAUCUGCUUCUGCCUGAAACUGGCAAGUGAUCCUUCUCUUCACAUCCCACUGGACCAAGGACAUCUCAUAGUGACCCCUGAUUUCAAAGAAAUGGUUAAGUUUAACUGUUCCACAUGUCCAAGGAAGCAAGAAAAGCUGGGAAGAGUGGUGAGCACCAGUGAAGUCUCACCAGCAGAACCAGAUAUGUCCAGGCAGUGGAAACCAGUACAGCCCAGCUCAGGUGGCCUGCUAUGGAUCAAUGCCACCCAUUGUGAGACCUACCCAGGGGACAAAAGUCUUCAAAUUUCAAAGAGAAAAAUGUAUCUCAGAGUGAUGAAAUAGAGUAUCUAAAAACCGUUUGCAUUCCUUAAUUGAAAAGUGUUCAAACUGGGGAGAGUCAAAGGCCAACUUCUUUAACCAGUUAAAGCGUACCUGGUGUUGGGUUGGCCAAAAAGUCUAUUUGGGUAGAAAAUAGCCUACGAGGUAUUACAACAUUUUGAGGCAUGUGGCAAUCUUGUUUUUAAAAAUCACAGAUGCCUGUGUUUCAAUAUUCACUGAAAGCUGAAAUCACUUACAUUUGUUUCAUUGGUUCUUCAACUUGUGUUUUACUUUCAUACUAACACUUGAGCUGAAUUUCCAAGUGUGUUAAUAAUUUAAUAAAUGGAAUGAAUGCUAUUUAGUUUGGGCUUCCCUGGUGGCUCAGAUGGUAGAGAAUCUGCCUGCAAUGUGGGAUACCUGGGUUUGAUCCCUGGGUA